CACGGGAGGGGGGGCGCAAAGGGCAACGGGUGCCCCGGGAGGGGCGCGACAGCGGGCUGGGUGCGGCAGGCGCCGCUCGCGGACGUCGGGGAAACGGCACCUGUUCCUUCCUCCCUGGCUGGGGCUGCACUGGGUGCUCUGGCGACGCUCGGGUCUCCUGCGGGUUGCCGCCUCUUUACCGCCCGCCGCCCUCGGGCAGAAGCCGAGAGCAGGGACUGAAGGCGCCCACCAAUUUACUCCGAGUUGGGCGCGGGACCCCUUCCUGAGCCCGCCCUUCGGGAAGCACCUGCUUUCUCUUUUAUCCACCUGAAGGCGAGGGAAGCUUCAGUUCGACCUCACUGGAGCAGAUUAGAGAUUGGCUGAGCCCGCAGAGGGACAACCAGGUAGGCAGGGUUCAGAGGGAACUGUGCUGAGAGGACUCCUGGCUGAUUUCAGGAGGAUGACUGCACUUCACCUUUGUGAUUUUGGACAGAACAAUCUCUCCAAGGCUAAGUUUCCUCAUUGAUAAAAUGGGAGUGCCUGUCUGCCCUGCUGCCUCAGACACUUGUGAAGCUCAAAUGACAAACUGCACUAAGGUGACUCAAAAGAUGGAAAGCCCUGGGGCAGUGAGAGACACAGCGAGAGAAAGACAAGCUUGUUCAACUGAGUCUUCAUGCCACAAUCCACCCUUCACUACUCCAGUCCUAUAUCAUGGGCACAAAAGUACCCAGCAUGUUCAAGGUUUCCAGACAUGAACCCAGAAUCUUCCAAUGUGAGUCAGCCUUGAAGAGCAUUGAGUGACUGCUAUGCCACCAAACAACCCCUCAGAAAGGGCCAUUUUAAGUUAACUGACUUUUGUUGUGAAUGAUUUCAGCAGCUUAAACGGUCCAGAAUCUGAUCAUCUUUUCUUCCAUUGUUCACAUUCCUUCACCCAGUCCCUUUUCACCUGCUCUUUGUAUGUGCUUCUGAGACCACGUCCCCUCUACCACUAGGGGGACAGAAGGAAGUUUACUGAUUCACCUGGGCCCAAAGACAAUACCAAGCACAGGAGCUCUGAGUUCACCAGCCACAAACAGACAACCUCUGUGGAAGGUUAUAUCAACAACAAUUUCAUUGAGAAAUAACUGAGCCAGAACAGUGAGGUGCUUGGAGACUUCAAAACACAGACAACAACCCCUGCCCUCAAAGACAAUUGUAGAUAAAGGAUUAAAGAAAAUAAUUGAUAAGAAAUAAAUUGUUUAUUAUAUUGAGCAUUAAUAAAUGACACAUAAAAAAAACUGUUAGAGAAAUUCAGAGGAAAGAAAAAUUACCCUAUUUUGAGGUGGUUGGAAAAAUUUUACAGAAAAGAUAUAACAACAUCUGGAGUUUAAAGAGUAAAAUUUGCCAAGAGACCUGGAGGAAAGGAAUGAAGAGAAGCAAAACAUUGAAAAACAAAAACACCUGUUCACUGCAUGCAUGUGGGGAAAAAAAUAAAAGUUUAUUUAUACAAGGAAAUAGUGGAGUAAAAAUGUAAUUUAGUAACAAAUUGUAAAAAGUCUUUAAUAGGUUUAAUCAUUCUGUCAAGUCAGAACCUCUAACUUCUUUUACUCAUUAAACAAAGAUUUGUUUUGUGGCCAACGCUACUCUAGGUAUUAGGCAUAUAACAAUUAACAAAAUAGACAAAUAAUCCUUGCCUUUCUCUUUUUUGUAACUAUUUAAAUUAAUUUUUUAUUUGACAGAAAUUGUAUAUACUUAUCCUGUAUAGUGUGUUGUUUUGAAAUAUGUAUACAUUGCAGAAUGGCUAGAUUGAGCUAUUUAGUGCAUGCAUCACGUCACAUACUUACUUUUCCUGGUGAAUCCAAAAUCUAUUUCAGCAAUAUUCAAGAAUGUAAUACAUGCUGGGGGCCAGCAGGAGGUGUGGUGGUUAAGGCACUGGAUUCCCACAUGA